rfam:Triticum aestivum genome assembly, contig: Triticum_aestivum_CS42_TGACv1_scaffold_212499_3AS
CGGCAAUGAGGAGCGAAACCUGUGCCGGAGGCGGAUGCGCCCAUGUCGGUAACACAACCCUCUAAGAAGUUCUGAGCCC